rnacentral:rRNA from 1 species
CGUAGGGUGCAAGCGUUGUCCGGAAUUAUUGGGCGUAAAGAGCUCGUAGGCGGUCCGUCGCGUCGGAUGUGAAAACCCGGGGCUUAACCCCGGGCCUGCAUUCGAUACGGGCAGACUCGAGUGUGGUAGGGGAGACUGGAACUCCUGGUGUAGCGGUGAAAUGCGCAGAUAUCAGGAAGAACACCGGUGGCGAAGGCGGGUCUCUGGGCCACUACUGACGCUGAGGAGCGAAAGCGUGGGGAGCGAACAGGAUUAGAUACCCUGGUAGUCCACGCCGUAAACGUUGGGCGCUAGGUGUGGGGGACUUUCCACGUCCUCCGUGCCGCAGCUAACGCAUUAAGCGCCCCGCCUGGGGAGUACGGCCGCAAGGCUA